UACCUACGGGGGGCAGCAGUAGGGAAUAUUGCUCAAUGGGGGAAACCCUGAAGCAGCAACGCCGCGUGCAGGGAGAAGGUUUUCGGAUUGUAAACUGCUUUAGACAGGGAAGAAACAAGACAGUACCUGUAGAAUAAGCUCCGGCUAACUACGUGCCAGCAGCCGCGGUAAUACGUAGGGAGCAAGCGUUAUCCGGAUUUAUUGGGUGUAAAGGGUGCGUAGACGGGAAAACAAGUUAGUUGUGAAAUCCCUCGGCUUAACUGAGGAACUGCAACUAAAACUAUUUUUCUUGAGUGUUGGAGAGG
rnacentral:rRNA from 1 species